rnacentral:rRNA from 1 species
UACGUAGGGUGCAGGCGUUAAUCGGAAUUACUGGGCGUAAAGCGUGCGCAGGCGGCUUCUCAAGUCAGAUGUGAAAUCCCCGGGCUUAACCUGGGAACUGCGUUUGAAACUGGGAGGCUAGAGUGCGGCAGAGGGGGGUGGAAUUCCGACGUGUAGCAGUGAAAUGCGUAGAUAUGUGGAGGAACACCGAUGGCGAAGGCAGCCCCCUGGGCCUGCACUGACGCUCAUGCACGAAAGCGUGGGGAGCAAACAGG